GAAAGGUACAACAUUUCUAGUUUCACUUAUGUAGGUAUAGCAUCCCUCAUGAGUGUAUCUUGCGUUGUAUUUGUGGAGCAAUUAAAUCCAACAGUUUUUUCACUUUUUCAGGUGUUAUUCUCAACACUGCUCUGUACUCUCGGGGAUCAUCAUCGUAGAGUUACUUCAAUAUUGUAUUUGUUGCUCCUUUUUUUUGCAUCCAAUUCCUGGACCGAAUCCUUUUUUCUUUCUGCUUUUUCCGGAUAGUACCUUCAGUUCAAAGAAAUUCAGCACAAAGUAUUUUUAAACACGGCCAGUGUGUGUUUAGCGAUAAAAUUGUGUAAUGAUAAAUUCAACUGAAAAUCUAAGACGAAAACUGCCAAUAAAGAAGUCGAUUUCGGAUCAAUCAUCUGACAAAUUCGGAUCUGAUUGCUGUUUCUGACGAUUUGAUGGACAUUUGAAAAACCGCCUGGCAUCUCUGGAAAACCUGUGCCGUAGUAUCUAGUUUCUUGCCAGCAGCUCACAUUGUGUGAACGGACAAGGCGAGUCAACCAUUUGUCAAGCGAGUUCACCGGGUCAGUAGCUGCUCAUUGUGAAGCCAGCUACUAGCAACGUAUAAAUGGGCCUUUACGCGAGAAAUCAUAUCUUUUGGUGACAAAUGCAUUCGUUGGCAAAAUAGCUGCUCGCGCUUUACUGUAGAUAGAUAUCUACAAUCAGCGGUCGAAUUAAAAACAGUGCAGAAGGAUGUUUUGAGUAUAUUUUACCUUCUAGCCGCGCAAUCAAUGCUUUUAUUUCCAAUCAUGCAGCGUUUUAAUCGGCAAAAGCAUGAAAUAGAAUCGUACGUGGUACGAAUUUAUCGGCACAAUCUGAUCAAGGACGGAGGCAUCAUCAAACGGAAACUACGCAAGAAACUUUUCGAAGAGAUAAAACUACGCCGCAACACUCGUGUCAAAAUGGACGAGUUGGGCUGGGUGCUGAUGAACCACGAUUUGAUAACACGUAAUGAGCCAAUCCAACAGCAUGACAAUGGUAAUUGACCAAAUCAUUUUAAAUUCAACAUGGAGCGGUUGCGAAACCUACUGGAGCAGCACGAACAGAACAAUCACGCUGUUGACUUCCAAAAAUCAACACAAAUUCCUGCGUAUGCUGGAUGCAAUUUUACAAAACGACAAAGUUUUGAAGGAAAUUAAAGAGAUGGUAGUGGCGAAUCGACUUCUAUCGGAAAUUCGUUAUGUGACUGCGGUGGAACGUAUGCUGAAACACAAUUUGGACCCCUCUUUGCGCUGCUGCUUUGUAUGCCGAGAGUAUUUCCGCACUGCCGAUGAGUAUACCAGUCAUUUCGAAAAAUUGCACGGUGAGAAAUUUCUUAUUGUUGCGGCGGUGGAUCGAUUUCAGACUAGUCAAAAGUUCAACGUUCUACAUCACUACAAUGCCCUUAAUCCGGUGACAAUAUUCACGAUUUGCAACGUAUACCACACAGCCCUAAUAAAAAAAACAAGAAAAGACGGGUCUAAUAUUUUACAAUGAAGAACAAAUCUACCACUUUCCACGAAAAUCGGAGAACCACUAUAUCGGUUAGACAUGGAAUGGCUGAUACAUAUAAGGCAGAAAAAAAGGUUUAACUUUGGAAUUCAACAUCCUAUAUUUCCUCGUACCAUUAAGUUCAUGGCGCAUUUGAUGUCGGCCAUCGUAACUGCGUCUAUGGUAAUGACGUGAGCAUAUACCUUGAUUUUUAUCUCCAUCUCGGAGAAAAGUGUGGUAAACAAUGUCCGGGUUAUUUUUCGUUAUGAGAACCUUGUUUCCACAUCCUUUUACUGCACAAUAAUACGGCAUCUGAAGUAAAUAAAAUAUUCACAAUAUAAUUUUGGCAUGAUAGAGAACCGUGAGAUGAACGAUUAUCUGUGGUGGAGUUGGACAACAGAUUUCUUAGACUUAUAGCACUUUUAUUACACCCACAAGCUCAUCAAAUCAUCACGGUCCCCCAAAAAUAUUGAAUAAUAUAUAAUAUAAAUACCUUAUUGCAGCUAUAGUACACUAUUUUUCACGAAUAUAUAUUUGUUUAUUUCUUCUUUCAGUUGUUUUCCUCAGCCAGUUGAUAUGAAACCAUAACCACACAACCAAACAAAAAGUAAAUAAUUCAGAAAGCUACGGGUGCUGAUACACUGUUUGACCGAAGCCAAAUACUUGACUCUUUUUGACAGAUAAAAUUUGGUCAACGUGUACUGAUCAAAUAUAUUCUACACAAAACACGACAAGCAAAUAUUCAAUUAUUGGAUGCCUAAAAUAUUUUUUCAGUCUGUUCUUCGAACCUGUCGAUACAUGGUUAGGUUACCUAGAAUAUUUCAGUUGAUUUUUUCCAUGUUCGGUGUUUGAUAUUGUUUACUACUGUUGAAAAUUGAAGAGUGGCAAACAAAAUAGUGUUUGUACAAAUAUCAAAUCAAACCUUAUCUGUCAAAAAAUAACAAAUAUUUGACCUCCGGGCAAACAGUGUACGGCCACCUUACGUCUCGCUACUCGUCUCACGACUCAAAUGAAAGUGUCAAGAACGAAACACCUAUAGUUUAGCAUCUUGGCCGUGACGUAUCUCUAAGUUAAGGCUGAUUUAGCGUAAGAACACACUGGACGGCUUCCCCGCGCGGAUUUUGCAAUGACAGACCGCCGCGGGGCCUCGAUAAUGGAAUGUGAAUGAGAUAAAACACACAAGGCGGAGCGGGUACGGCCGGUUCUAAAGUCACUGUUGUAAGGUUCCUCAUUCUCUGCGGUGGCUCGAUGGAGAUGAUGCGCCGCAACGGUUUUGUGAUAGUAUUAGUGUUUAUGCGGUGCACAUGAAGCAAGGUAAUAGUUAAUGUACUAUCGGUGAGCCAAUACGUGAAAAUCACUCUGCGGUCAUGUAGCUGCGGAUUCUCGAAUACUACCCAAAUUAUCGAGAAAUGCAAUAUUUCAGACGUGUGCGAUCAACUUCUUUCUCCCUCUCGCUCAGGUAAACAUCCCUCUUCCGUUUUCCACCAUUCUGUCUUUAUAUACCUCCCCUCUAAUCCGCUUACUGUCCAAACAGUUGUACCUUGUACCAUAGACUCGUCUUGCAUCCGUCUAUAAAAAUAUGAUAAUGGCCGCUAGUGAAGCCGUCGAAAGCCGCUGAAUGUGUUUUUCAUCGAGCUCCUGCUGCGACUUGUCAUUGCGAGAAUCGCGCGGGAGAGCC